rnacentral:rRNA from 1 species
GAUGAACGCUGGCGGCGUGCCUAAUACAUGCAAGUCGAGCGAACAGACGAGGAGCUUGCUCCUCUUACGUUAGCGGCGGACGGGUGAGUAACACGUGGGUAACCUACCUAUAAGACUGGGAUAACUUCGGGAAACCGGAGCUAAUACCGGAUAAUAUAUGGAACCGCAUGGCUCAAUAGUGAAAGGCGGUUUUGCUGUCACUUAUAGAUGGAUCCGGUCCGCAUUAGUUAGUUGGUAAGGUAACGGCUUACCAAGGCAACGAUGCUUAGCGGACCUGGAGGGGUGAUGGGCCACCCUGGAACUAAGACACGGUCCAGACUCCUACGGGAGGCAGCAGUAGGGAAUCUUGCGCAAUGGGCGAACGCCUGACGGAGCAACGCCGCGUGAGUGAUGAAGGUCUUCGGAUCGAAAAACUCUGUUAUUAGGGAAGAAGAAAUGUGUAAGUAACUAUGCACGUCGUGACGGUACCUAAUCAGAAAGCCACGGCUAACUACGUG